rnacentral:rRNA from 1 species
AUUGAACGCUGGCGGCAGGCCUAACACAUGCAAGUCGAACGGUAACAGGAAGCAGCUUGCUGCUUCGCUGACGAGUGGCGGACGGGUGAGUAAUGUCUGGGAAGCUGCCUGAUGGAGGGGGAUAACUACUGGAAACGGUAGCUAAUACCGCAUAAUGUCGCAAGACCAAGGAGGGGGACCUUCGGGCCUCUUCCCUUCGGAUGGGCCCAGAUGGGAUUAGCUUGUUGGUGGGGUAACGGCUCACCAAGGCGACGAUCCCUAGCUGGUCUGAGAGGAUGACCAGCCACACUGGAACUGAGACACGGUCCAGACUCCUACGGGAGGCAGCAGUGGGGAAUAUUGCACAAUGGGCGCAAGCCUGAUGCAGCCAUGCCGCGUGUAUGAAGAAGGCCUUCGGGUUGUAAAGUACUUUCAGCGGGGAGGAAGGGAGUAAAGUUAAUACCUUUGCUCAUUGACGUUACCCGCAGAAGAAGCACCGGCUAACUCCGUG